UACGUAGGUGGCAAGCGUUGUCCGGAUUUACUGGGCGUAAAGAGCGCGCAGGCGGUCGUUCAAGUCGCGUGUGAAAGCCCCCGGCUCAACUGGGGAAGGUCACGCGAUACUGAUCGACUCGAAGGCAGGAGAGGGUAGUGGAAUUCCCGGUGUAGUGGUGAAAUGCGUAGAUAUCGGGAGGAACACCAGUGGCGAAGGCGACUACCUGGCCUGUUUCUUGACGCUGAGGCGCGAAAGCUAGGGGAGCAAACGGG
rnacentral:rRNA from 1 species